GCUGGGUAUGGUGGUGCAAACCUGUAGUCCUAGCUACUUUGGAGGCUGAGGUUGGAGGAUUGCUUGAGCCCAGGAGGUCGAGGCUGCAGUGAGCUAUAAUGUCACUGCACUCCAGCCUAGGCAACAGAGUGAGACCCUGUCUCUA
rnacentral:SRP_RNA from 1 species